rnacentral:rRNA from 1 species
CCACAGACUGCGGGUACUGUGCGAUGUAUCCGCUCACGGCCGCCAUGGCGGCCGCGGGAAUUCGAUUAAUAGCUGCGGGAAACUGCAGGUAAUGCCGGAUAAUAUCCCCGGAUCAAAGGUGUGAUUCCGCCUUGGGAGGAGACUGCGUACUACUAGCUUGUUGGUGGGGUAAUGGCCUACCAAGGCUUUGAUGGUUAGCGGGCGUGAGAGCGUGGCCCGUCUCACUGGGACUGAAACACUGCCCAGACACCUACGGGUGGCUGCAGUCGAGAAUCUUCGGCAAUGGGCGAAAGCCUGACCGAGCGAUGCCGCGUGCGGGAUGAAGGCCUUCGGGUUGCAAACCGCUGUCAGUUGGGAGGAAGGCUCCGUGAAGAGCGGAGCUUGACCUAUCUUCAGAGGAAGUCCGGGCUAAGUUCGUGCCGGCAGCCGCGGUAACACGAACCGGACAAACGUUAUUCGGAAUUAUUGGGCUUAAAGGGUGCGUAGGCGGCGCGGUAAGUGAGGUGUGAAAUCCCACGACUCAAUCGUGGAACUGCGCUUCAAACUACCGUGCUAGAGGGAGACAGAGGUAAGCGGAACUGAUGGUGGAGCGGUGAAAUGCGUUGAUAUUAUCAGGAACACCAGUGGCGGAAGCGGCUUACUGGGUCUCUUCUGACGCUGAGGCACGAAAGCUAGGGUAGCGAACGGGAUUAGAGCCUG